AUACAGAGGGUGCAAACGUUGUUCGGAAUUACUGGGCGUAAAGCGCGCGUAGGCGGGCUGGUUAGUUGGGGGUGAAAUCCCAGGGCUUAACCCUGGAACUGCCUCCAAUACUGCCAGUCUAGAGUUCGAGAGAGGUGAGUGGAAUUCCUAGUGUAGAGGUGAAAUUCGUAGAUAUUAGGAAGAACACCAGUGGCGAAGGCGGCUCACUGGCUCGAUACUGACGCUGAGGUGCGAAAGCGUGGGGAGCGAACAGGAUUAGAAACCCCAGUAGUCC
rnacentral:rRNA from 1 species